AUUGAACGCCGGCGACAUGCUUUACACAUGCAAGUCGAACGGUAACAGGGAGCUUGCUCCGCUGACGCGUGGCGAACGGGAGAGUAAUGCGUCGGAACGUGCCGAGCAGAGGGGGAUAACGCAUCGAUAGCUGUUCUAAUACCGCAUACGAACCGCGGUUGAAAGUGGGGGACCGUCGGGCCUCACGCUAUUCGAGCGGCCGACGUCUGUUUAGCUAGUUGGUGAGGUAAAGGCGCACCAAGGCGAGGAUAAGUAGCGGGUCUGAGAGGAUGAUCCGCCAAACUGGAACGGAGACACGGCCCAGACUCCUACGGGAGGCAGCAGUGGGGAAAUUUGGACAAUGGGGGCAACCCUGAUCCAGCCAUUCCGCGUGAGUGAAGAAGGCCUUCGGGUUGUAAAGCUCUUUCGGCAGGAACGAAACGGCGAGCUCUAACAUAGCUUGCUAAUGACGGUACCUGAAGAAGAAGCACCGGCUAACUAUGUGCCAGCAGCCGCAGUAACAC
rnacentral:rRNA from 1 species